UCGGAACAGCCAACCUGAAACCUGAAACCUGAGCUUAACCUGAUUUUGUAAAAUUUGAUCUGACCUGAACCUAUUUCAACUUGACCUGACGAGAUAAAAAACCUUACACGACCUGAUCUGACCUGACUAAAAAUAAUUGCGUAAUUGGAUGCAAAACUAAUGAACUGACGGCUAAAAUCCACAAAAUCCACUGAUUAAUAAAAUCAGUGAUUACUGCAACUGAAAUAAUUCAGAUCGUCAAGUCAGGGAAAAAUCAGGUGAGGUUUCACCUGACCUGUUCCGAGGCUAAUUUGUACUUAUGUAUUUUGAAACGGGUAGAGUUAGUUAAUGUUAAGUUACCUAACUACUAAAGUUAGGUUCCACAACUUAAUUUACCAACCAAUAAAUGAAUGAAGUCAUAGAUUAUAAAACCUAUUACCUCAAUACCAAGUUAAUCAAUUGUUUAAUCAACUAAUUUAAGUUUAACUCUAAUGAAUAAUAAUAAUAAUAAUGAAUAUGUGAGCAGUUUUCAUAGUACGGGCGAAAUGUGAUGUUUAGUGCAGUUAUGAAAUGGUUGCUCAUGCAAACAAACUUAAAAGAAUAAAUUAAUGACAUUGAGUGCAAAGCGUCUUAUUAGGCACUAGAUCAGCGCCAUCUCUAUCAUUUCUCUGUUUCGAAGCCAGGUUGUACCGAGAUGUGAGUAGAUGUAACAUUGUAAGACACAAUAAAUAAAAAUGCGAAUUUUGAGAGUGUUUUUAUUGUUGUAUCUUUUGACAUUAUCUUUAAAUUAAACUGGAAGAAGAAAUCCGAGGAUGUUCCAAAAAAAAAUUAAUGAAAUGUUGUUAGUGCAAGGGAUUCAAUAAAUGCUAAAUUUAAAAAAAAUAGAAAUUCCGAAAAAUAAAGAGAAAAACAAUAAAAUUACGAAAGCCGGUGGUGACAUAUAGUCAUUAAUUGAAAUUAAUCCAUCUAAUGGUCAGGAAACGAAUUUUUCGUCUUCAAAGAAAGCAAAGAAUGCUUUGUAAAAUAAUGGCUGAGACGACAAUCACAGAGUUUGUUUCACCAACCAAGGCAAAAAAGGAGAAAAUAACAGCAGAAGGGGAACGGGAGAAGAUUGUUCACGAGAAACCAACGAAAAAGAGAAAAAAUUCGGUGACUGCAGACGAGAACGAUGAUAUGGAAGUGGAGCCCUUGAUAACCGAUAAAAUUGAAAAAACAAAAACAAAGACGUUUAAAGGUGAACAGGAUCAAAAGGCGGAGGGAUGCCAGUACCGAGAAACAACACUCUUAUGGAGCGGAAACUGAUGACGAGACAGUAGAUUAAACUAUUAACGACAGACAAAUCAAACAGUUUCCGAUUUUGUUCGUAACCUACCAAUGAACCCGAAGCUGAGAUGCUCCAGAAGUUGUUUGCAAAAUUUGGAAAGUCAAGAGCAUUCGAUUCCGACCUCGCAAUGGUUCCAAGUUCUUCAAAUCGCAGUCAAAGGUCACAUCACCCAAUGUCAUUACUUUGCGGAUUUUGAAUGUAAGAGAGAUGCUUAGGCUAGCUUAGUGUUGAAUGGAAGAGAAGAUCAAGGACCACGUGCCCAUAGUUAGGAAGCGCGAACAGUUUUUGUGAGAAACCUAAAGUGCUGGUGGUUUACGAUCAGAAUUUACACAACCUGUUUUCUUGCUGUGGUGAAAUUGAAUACGGCUGGACGAUGCAAUCUGAUAACAUUUCAAUACAUUAUUUGAUGUACAAUUGUUUUCUGUGUGACUAAUCCCACUAUAAUCGUGCAACUGAAACAAGUGUUUUUUUUUUGCAUUAUCUAGUUUAUAGGUCAAAAUUUAUUUAUUUUCUCCUUUACUUUGCGUAAGCUGAAUUGUUAUCUGAAUUUGUUUAGGUCGCACAGUGUUCCAAAACGUUACUGCCACAUUCAUAAAUCUAUUUUUGACAUCAAUACGUCACUU